rnacentral:sRNA from 1 species
UUGACAGUGCUGGCGACUGAAGCCCUCUGUUUAUCACAGAGCAGAUACAGCAAAGGCAUCUGCAAAGCAAGCUUCCCCAACACCAAGUCCCGCCAGCGUGCCUCAGACCCAGAGAUGCCCAAAUCAAGAGACCAUUAGUGAAAGCUUGUCAACUUUCCACAGCC